AGUGAACGCUGGCGGUAGGCCUAACACAUGCAAGUCGAACGGCAGCACAGUAAGAGCUUGCUCUUACGGGUGGCGAGUGGCGGACGGGUGAGGAAUGCAUCGGAAUCUACUUUUUCGUGGGGGAUAACGUAGGGAAACUUACGCUAAUACCGCAUACGACCUACGGGUGAAAGCAGGGGAUCUUCGGACCUUGCGCGAUUGAAUGAGCCGAUGUCGGAUUAGCUAGUUGGCGGGGUAAAGGCCCACCAAGGCGACGAUCCGUAGCUGGUCUGAGAGAAUGAUCAGCCACACUGGAACUGAGACACGGUCCAGACUCCUACGGGAGGCAGCAGUGGGGAAUAUUGGACAAUGGGCGCAAGCCUGAUCCAGCCAUACCGCGUGGGUGAAGAAGGCCUUCGGGUUGUAAAGCCCUUUUGUUGGGAAAGAAAAGCAGCAGGUUAAUACCCCGCUGUUCUGACGGUACCCAAAGAAUAAGCACCGGCUAACUUCGUG
rnacentral:rRNA from 1 species